rnacentral:rRNA from 1 species
CAGCCGCCGCGGUAAUACGUAGGUGGCAAGCGUUGUCCGGAAUUAUUGGGCGUAAAGGGCUCGCAGGCGGUUUCUUAAGUCUGAUGUGAAAGCCCCCGGCUCAACCGGGGAGGGUCAUUGGAAACUGGGAAACUUGAGUGCAGAAGAGGAGAGUGGAAUUCCACGUGUAGCGGUGAAAUGCGUAGAGAUGUGGAGGAACACCAGUGGCGAAGGCGACUCUCUGGUCUGUAACUGACGCUGAGGAGCGAAAGCGCGGGGAGCAAACAGGAUUAGAUACCCGUGUAGUCCCUGUCUCUUAUAC